UUUGAAACUGGCAGGCUAGAGUCUUGUAGAGGGGGGUAGAAUUUCAGGUGUAGCGGUGAAAUGCGUAGAGAUCUGAAGGAAUACCAGUGGCGAAGGCGGCCCCCUGGACAAAGACUGACGCUCAGAUGCGAAAGCGUGGGUAGCAAACAGGAUUAGAUACCCUGGUAGUCCACGCCGUAAACGCUGUCUACUUGGAGGUUGAGGUUUAAGACUUUGGCUUUCGGCGCCAACGCAUUAAGUAGACCGCCUGGGGAGUACGGCCGCAAGGUUAAAACUCAAAUGAAUUGACGGGGGCCCGCACAAGCGGUGGAGCAUGUGGUUUAAUUCGAUGCAACGCGAAGAACCUUACCUACUCUUGACAUCCAGCGAAGCCUUUAGAGAUAGAGGCGUGCCUUCGGGAGCGCUGAGACAGGUGCUGCAUGGCUGUCGUCAGCUCGUGUUGUGAAAUGUUGGGUUAAGUCCCGCAACGAGCGCAACCCUUAUCCUUGUUUGCCAGCACGUAAUGGUGGGAACUCCAGGGAGACUGCCGGUGAUAAACCGGAGGAAGGUGGGGACGACGUCAAGUCAUCAUGGCCCUUACGAGUAGGGCUACACACGUGCUACAAUGGCAGAUACAGAGGGCAGCGAAGCUGCGAAGUGGAGCGAAUCCCUUAAAGUCUGUCGUAGUCCGGAUUGGAGUCUGCAACUCGACUCCAUGAAGUCGGAAUCGCUAGUAACCGUGGAUCAGAAUGCCACGGUGAAUACGUUCCCGGGCCUUGCACACACCGCCCG
rnacentral:rRNA from 1 species